CAAGAAAUUAGGAAAUACAACGAGAAACUGAGUUGAAGAUCAUUAAAAAGAAGCAAAAAAGAAAAAAACCCAAAAAUAUACACAGAUUCACACAAGAAGCACACACAAACAUCUCCCUAGUAAUUAUGCCACAUUAAGCCACAUUAUCCCUCGCUUCUCCUUGCUUCCCUUCAGACUCCGAGGCAGGAAAAUUACCUGGAUGGACCUUCUUCUUGCACUUUCCACUGGUUGAAGCAGAACCACCAACUUUAUCCUCUUCAACGACACUCUCUCCUCUUCUCACUCUUUCCUCCUCCAUUCUCUUUAUUUUCUCCAUCUGGCGUUUCUGCUUCACGUAGACUUCAGCAC